rnacentral:rRNA from 1 species
GUAAGGAUUGACGGACUGAAGGCUCUUUCUCGAUUCCGUGGAAAGUGGUGCAUGGCCGUUUUUGGUUGGUGGAUCGAUCCGUCUGGUUAAUUCCGUUAACGAACGAGACCUCGGCACUCCGAAUAGCGCGGCGGACGUCGCGGCCUCCGGGCCGUCUUCCGCACGAGCUUCUUAGAGGGACCGUCCCCCGCCGGGGAAGGAGGUGCGAGGCAACGACAGGUCUGUGAUGCCCUUAGAUGUUCUGGGCCGCACGCGCAUUACACUGACGCGUCCAACGGGUGACUCCCGACCCGAAGGGGCCGGGGAAUCCGCAAGGCGCGUCGUGAUGGGGAUUGAACGUUGCAAUUGUUGUUCACGAACGAGGAAUUCCUAGUAGGCGCGGGUCAUCAACCCGCGCCGAUUACGUCCCUGCCC